GCAUAGUAAUAGCUACCAACAGCUGUUCUCAGUUAAAUUAUUAUCGCACGUGUAGUUUUUGUUUUGCAAAUAAUUUUGUAGUAAAAUGAAACCUAAGCCGCAAAAAAACCAGGGUAAAAUCAAUAAGAAGCAAGCAGCCAACACUGGAAAAUCAAGCCAAAGGCAAAACCCCAAUUUUAAGCAUAAAUUCAAGCCGAAAAAGGAGGCGACAGAAAAGAAACCCAACAAGCCGGAAAUAAGAAAAAUGAUACGCCAGAAGAAGGCAGCGGAGGCCGAGGCGGAACGCCAAAAGAUCAAGCAGGAGAAGGAGGAGCGCAUUAAGGCAUAUAAGAAGCAGCGUCUCGAGAAAACCAAAGUGAUAAGCAAACGCACCCAACGCGGGCAACCACUGAUGAAAGAUCGCAUGCAACUUUUGCUCAAGCAGAUUGAAGAAAUGAAGCGACAUUAAAAGAGCGAGUUCGAGUGGCUUUUGAUGAUCGCCUUUUUGCUGUGCAUUGGCGAUAUUUUGGCAGCACCGAAGCGCAAGUCAAAGCCCAAACCCAAAUUUCCCAUAAAGUUGCCAAAAAUUAACAUAAAUAUUCAUCAUAAUAAUAUUCACAUUGGUUGAAGGGCAGCUCGUUCUACAAACUAGACAUAAAGUAUUUGGAAUAAGUUUCACUUAAGAUAUUUAUAGCUUCAUCCCUCUAUGUUGGGAGGUUUUAAGUAUAUAUAAACAAAAGAAGCGGAGUUUAAUGAGUGCAGAACUGGGCAUUCAGAUAAAUCUCUAGACCCAUUUCAUAAUAAAGUUAUGUUUAUCUUCUGCAAA